AUUGAGACAAAUCUGAGUUUUCGUGUUCAACGUUUGACUGUUCGUCUUAUUUAAAAAAAUUAUAAAAAAAUUAAAAAGAUAAGUCACACAUAAAGUAUUAAUCAUGUUUUAUCAUCUAACAACAAUGAAAAUACUAAUUAUAAAAAAAUUUUAUAUAAGACGGACAGUCAAACGUUGGACACGGAAACCAGGGUUUGUCUUUUU
rnacentral:pre_miRNA from 1 species